CCCACUUCUGAAGUUGCCCUCCAGCCGAGAGAAUUCCCCUUUUCUGAAGUUGCCCUCCAGCCGAGAGAAUUCCUAAAAAAGACCUAUUUUCCUCUGCCACUCUCAAUCCUCGCAGGUACUAAUCUAAUCACGUUGAUAUUAUUUUUUUUUGUAACCCUCGUUUGAUUCCCAAGAAAAUUCAUUCUCGUUUGAUUUCCGAGAAAAUCCAUUCAAAACCCCCAAAGAAAACCAAAAAAUUUGCUUUUCUUUUACUCCCUGUGUUUUCUGGAUCUGUUUUAAGGGUCUCUUUGCUGUUGUGCCAUUGGAUUUAAAUUUCACGAACCCUAAAUCCACGAUUUUUGAGCCAGAUUUUGUAUCCUGUGCGCGGGCUGGACCGGUAGGAAAUAUCGGGAAAAUUUCCGAAAAAUCGGUAAAAAUACCGCAAUAUCGGCGAUAUUUUCGGCGAUUUUUUGAAAUUCUCCUCCGGUUGCUCCGCGCGUCAGAUCCACUCGCGAUUUUUCUCCUAUUUAUCGGUGCUUCACCGAUAUUUCGCCGAUAUAUAGGCGAUUUUGUCAAUUUUUCUGUCUCGGUGACGAUUAUCGUUUCGAUGCCGCCCGAUAUCCGAUAUUUUCCCGAGAUAUCGGAGAUAUUUUCCGUUUUUU
rnacentral:lncRNA from 1 species